rnacentral:rRNA from 1 species
UACGAAGGGAGCUAGCGUUGUUCGGAAUCACUGGGCGUAAAGCGCACGUAGGCGGAUUUGCCAGUCAGGGGUGAAAUCCCGGGGGCUCAACCUCGGAACUGCCUUUGAUACAGCAAGUCUUGAGUUCGAGAGAGGUGGGUGGAAUUCCUAGUGUAGAGGUGAAAUUCGUAGAUAUUAGGAAGAACACCGGUGGCGAAGGCGGCCCACUGGCUCGACACUGACGCUGAGGUGCGAAAGCGUGGGGAGCAAACAGG